UCCAACCGUAGAAGAACCCCUUGCAGCGGCUGCGCUAUCCGGCGCUUGGGGGGAGGCAAUUGGUAAAGUUUUCAUGCCGAAACGCUAAACAAAAUUGGGCUAUGCAGGGUGCCGAGCAGACCUGCAAGCACGCCGAAGCCAGUGAAAGGUAAUGGACCCAAGGGACACGGCUUGAGCUCCGGCUGCAUGUAGCCUUGCGGUCACUGAGCGUCUGUGUUUCUCCACGGCCCGGCUUCGAGUGCUGCAUUCAAGCUGGAUCCUUCACAAGUCACCGGCAUGGAGCCACAGCCGGGUGUGCUGGACAUUCUGGCUCAAUUCUGCCACCGGCUGCUGCAUUGGGGCCCACUGACGGCGCUUUUCAUCAUCAAAUUCAUUUUUCUGACCAGCCUGUACGUGACAUCUAUGUGGCUCUCGCCUUAUGGUUCAACGUUAGGUACCGUCAACCACGCGAUAUUCAUCGGUUGGGUUGGAGUCCUCCUGUACAAUUUCUUCAUGGCCGUCGCUAUGGGACCGGGCUUCGUCCCUCUGAAGUGGAGGCCGGACCAGCCAGAUGACGAGCAGUUCCUGCAAUACUGUGCAAACUGUGAUGGAUUUAAGACACCGCGGUCACACCACUGCCGCAAAUGUGAAAGGUGUGUCUUUAAGAUGGACCAUCACUGUCCAUGGAUCAACACUUGUUGUGGGCACCGGAACCAUGCCAACUUCACACUUUUUUUGUUCUUUGCUGUCUGUGGCAGCAUUCAUGCCUUGGUGCUGUUGAUCAUGGGCCUGGCUAAAGCCUAUCACAGGAAAUAUUACAUGCGCCAAGGUCAAGAGGACAAUCUAGUCUACCUGGGUUUCUUCCCUUUUCUGGCCACGGUGCUGAGCCUGGGCUUAGCCAUUGGUGUCAUCAUUGCAGUGGGAAGCCUCUUUGUUAUACAGCUCAAAAUUAUCAUUCGCAACGAGACGACUAUUGAGAACUGGAUUGUGGCCAAGGCUCAGAUGCGAGAGCGUGAUGAGGAAGACGACUUUGUCUAUCCAUACAACCUGGGCGUGGCUGAGAACCUGAAGCAGGUCUUUUUGUACCCACUUGGUGAUGGCAUUACCUGGCCCGUGGUGCCUGGGUGCAACCAGUACACACUCACUGUUGAGCAAAUUCUUCAGAAGCAUGACAAGCGGCUACGAACCCGCCUGUACACUGUGGUACACCCAUAUCGUGGCUCCUUUUUCCCAAUAUCACAUGGCUGCUCUGUUUGCAUGACGACACCACUCACUGAUGAGCCCCGCAUUGCAGUCAGCCCUGGUGACCGUGUUCUUGUAACUCGGUGGAAAAAGCACUGGCUUUAUGGAGAGUUAGAAAGUGCAAAGUUUUCAACGAAAUCUUCACGCAGGCUGAAGGGCUGGUUUCCACGGCAGUGUGCAGUUGAGGUGGCUGGCAGUAAGGGGAGCCGGAGCUGCACAGAGGCAUCAUCAAGCUAUGCCGACAACAAGAAGUACAAGUGAAACGUGCCAUCACAUCACUGCACCGCUGCAGCCUCUAUUGUCUGCCAAGCUUAGCUGCCAGAUUUCAGACCAGUCAAAUUUUCCCUCCUGUGGGCAGCUGUCCCUGUUGCGUGUGGAUGGACUCGGCUGCUCCCCAAUCUGCAUUCUGUGAAUGUGAAGUGGUGCAUGAUGAAAGGAUUCACACGCACUGGAUGUAAAAACCUGACAGUUGUUUUCUGUGGCUUUGAAUGUUCCCACUGUGAUGACAUUCAUAACAAAGGAAUGCGGUGCUUAUUUUUUAUCUUUACUGCCUUCACCAGCCUUGAGGCCUCUUUGUUUUUGGUAUGUAUGUGCGCAAUGUAAAAAAAUGCUGAAGUAUACAGUAGCACAAUACUCGGAUGUAUUUUUGCUGAGUAAUAUUUGAGGAGAAGGCAGGGUGAAUAUUUUUUGUGAGGUAAUUUUUGGCUAUUGCCCUGUGUAUAUAUGAGUGCAGUCAUCUCCACUGGCUGUUACUAGGAUAAGACGAAACUAUCGUGGUGAUAUUGUCCUUUUUAAGGUUUCGUUUUUACAAUGGAAUCGAUGAUAGCUGCACCUUGUAUGCAGGCUGACAAGGUUGUUAUUUUUUGUAUUCAUCAUGCCCGUAUGUUUUCUGUCCAGUGUAGUAAAAAUUGUUUCUGAUUAGGCAGGGGUGAACAAUGGCGUUUUUAGGCUCUUGCAUCUGAAUGUUCCUCCUCAGUGUUUGUGACAAGCGAGGAUGUGAGGGAUUUGGAACGCCAUUUCUCGCCUUCUGAUUCUGUCGGUCAUUGCACUUUUGUCUCAUUGUCAUGGCUUCUUGCCAUACUAACUUCCAUUGAACUGCGAUUGUGUUUUGUGUAUGUGCAGCAUGUAUACACAUUUUGUGUUUCAGUAUGUCUUUCCCAUUUAUUACUUUCAGAUUCUCAGGUCACUUAACUGAAAAUGAAAAAAUGAAUUUCAUUACUCUGAAUAAAAAGAAAUAAUUACCGACA